rfam:Eucalyptus grandis cultivar BRASTZ1 unplaced genomic scaffold scaffold_5, whole genome shotgun sequence.
UGCAAUCUAUGAUGCAAAACGUCCUAUUAUCAUGAUUUUGCAGUGAUUAUAACUAAAAUUAUCACCAUCUUUCGGCUGAGAUUGCA